UGCCGGAAUAGCUCAGUUG
rnacentral:tRNA from 2 species